rnacentral:rRNA from 1 species
GGUUAAGCGACUAAGCGUACACGGUGGAUGCCCUGGCAGUCAGAGGCGAUGAAGGACGUGCUAAUCUGCGAUAAGCGUCGGUGAGGUGAUAUGAACCGUUAUAACCGGCGAUUUCCGAAUGGGGAAACCCAGUGUGUUUCGACACACUAUCAUUAACUGAAUCCAUAGGUUAAUGAGGCGAACCGGGGGAACUGAAACAUCUAAGUACCCCGAGGAAAAGAAAUCAACCGAGAUUCCCCCAGUAGCGGCGAGCGAACGGGGAGCAGCCCAGAGCCUGAAUCAGUGUGUGUGUUAGUGGAAGCGUCUGGAAAGGCGUGCGAUACAGGGUGACAGCCCCGUACACAAAAAUGCACAUACUGUGAGCUCGAUGAGUAGGGCGGGACACGUGGUAUCCUGUCUGAAUAUGGGGGGACCAUCCUCCAAGGCUAAAUACUCCUGACUGACCGAUAGUGAACCAGUACCGUGAGGGAAAGGCGAAAAGAACCCCGGCGAGGGGAGUGAAAAAGAACCUGAAACCGUGUACGUACAAGCAGUGGGAGCCUCUUAAUGGGGUGACUGCGUACCUUUUGUAUAAUGGGUCAGCGACUUAUAUUCUGUAGCAAGGUUAACCGAAUAGGGGAGCCGAAGGGAAACCGAGUCUUAACUGGGCGUUAAGUUGCAGGGUAUAGACCCGAAACCCGGUGAUCUAGCCAUGGGCAGGUUGAAGGUUGGGUAACACUAACUGGAGGACCGAACCGACUAAUGUUGAAAAAUUAGCGGAUGACUUGUGGCUGGGGGUGAAAGGCCAAUCAAACCGGGAGAUAGCUGGUUCUCCCCGAAAGCUAUUUAGGUAGCGCCUCGUGAAUUCAUCUCCGGGGGUAGAGCACUGUUUCGGCAAGGGGGUCAUCCCGACUUACCAACCCGAUGCAAACUGCGAAUACCGGAGAAUGUUAUCACGGGAGACACACGGCGGGUGCUAACGUCCGUCGUGAAGAGGGAAACAACCCAGACCGCCAGCUAAGGUCCCAAAGUCAUGGUUAAGUGGGAAACGAUGUGGGAAGGCCCAGACAGCCAGGAUGUUGGCUUAGAAGCAGCCAUCAUUUAAAGAAAGCGUAAUAGCUCACUGGUCGAGUCGGCCUGCGCGGAAGAUGUAACGGGGCUAAACCAUGCACCGAAGCUGCGGCAGCGACACUAUGUGUUGUUGGGUAGGGGAGCGUUCUGUAAGCCUGUGAAGGUGUACUGUGAGGUAUGCUGGAGGUAUCAGAAGUGCGAAUGCUGACAUAAGUAACGAUAAAGCGGGUGAAAAGCCCGCUCGCCGGAAGACCAAGGGUUCCUGUCCAACGUUAAUCGGGGCAGGGUGAGUCGACCCCUAAGGCGAGGCCGAAAGGCGUAGUCGAUGGGAAACAGGUUAAUAUUCCUGUACUUGGUGUUACUGCGAAGGGGGGACGGAGAAGGCUAUGUUGGCCGGGCGACGGUUGUCCCGGUUUAAGCGUGUAGGCUGGUUUUCCAGGCAAAUCCGGAAAAUCAAGGCUGAGGCGUGAUGACGAGGCACUACGGUGCUGAAGCAACAAAUGCCCUGCUUCCAGGAAAAGCCUCUAAGCAUCAGGUAACAUCAAAUCGUACCCCAAACCGACACAGGUGGUCAGGUAGAGAAUACCAAGGCGCUUGAGAGAACUCGGGUGAAGGAACUAGGCAAAAUGGUGCCGUAACUUCGGGAGAAGGCACGCUGAUAUGUAGGUGAAGUCCCUCGCGGAUGGAGCUGAAAUCAGUCGAAGAUACCAGCUGGCUGCAACUGUUUAUUAAAAACACAGCACUGUGCAAACACGAAAGUGGACGUAUACGGUGUGACGCCUGCCCGGUGCCGGAAGGUUAAUUGAUGGGGUUAGCGGUAACGCGAAGCUCUUGAUCGAAGCCCCGGUAAACGGCGGCCGUAACUAUAACGGUCCUAAGGUAGCGAAAUUCCUUGUCGGGUAAGUUCCGACCUGCACGAAUGGCGUAAUGAUGGCCAGGCUGUCUCCACCCGAGACUCAGUGAAAUUGAACUCGCUGUGAAGAUGCAGUGUACCCGCGGCAAGACGGAAAGACCCCGUGAACCUUUACUAUAGCUUGACACUGAACAUUGAGCCUUGAUGUGUAGGAUAGGUGGGAGGCUUUGAAGUGUGGACGCCAGUCUGCAUGGAGCCGGCCUUGAAAUACCACCCUUUAAUGUUUGAUGUUCUAACGUUGGCCCCUGAUCGGGGUUGCGGACAGUGUCUGGUGGGUAGUUUGACUGGGGCGGUCUCCUCCUAAAGAGUAACGGAGGAGCACGAAGGUUGGCUAAUCCUGGUCGGACAUCAGGAGGUUAGUGCAAUGGCAUAAGCCAGCUUGACUGCGAGCGUGACGGCGCGAGCAGGUGCGAAAGCAGGUCAUAGUGAUCCGGUGGUUCUGAAUGGAAGGGCCAUCGCUCAACGGAUAAAAGGUACUCCGGGGAUAACAGGCUGAUACCGCCCAAGAGUUCAUAUCGACGGCGGUGUUUGGCACCUCGAUGUCGGCUCAUCACAUCCUGGGGCUGAAGUAGGUCCCAAGGGUAUGGCUGUUCGCCAUUUAAAGUGGUACGCGAGCUGGGUUUAGAACGUCGUGAGACAGUUCGGUCCCUAUCUGCCGUGGGCGCUGGAGAACUGAGGGGGGCUGCUCCUAGUACGAGAGGACCGGAGUGGACGCAUCACUGGUGUUCGGGUUGUCAUGCCAAUGGCACUGCCCGGUAGCUAAAUGCGGAAGAGAUAAGUGCUGAAAGCAUCUAAGCACGAAACUUGCCCCGAGAUGAGUUCUCCCUGACUCUUUAAGGGUCCUGAAGGAACGUUGAAGACGACGACGUUGAUAGGCCGGGUGUGUAAGCGCAGCGAUGCGUUGAGCUAACCGGUACUAAUGAACCGUGAGGCUUAACCUU